rnacentral:misc_RNA from 1 species
GAUGAAGAACGUAGCGAAAUGCGAUAAGUAAUGUGAAUUGCAGAAUCCAGUGAAUCAUCGAAUCUUUGAACGCACAUUGCGCCCGCCAGCAUUCUGGCGGGCAUGCCUGUUCGAGCGUCAUUUCAACCCUCGACCUCCCUUUGGGGAAGUCGGCGUUGGGGACCGGCAGCACACCGCCGGCCCUGAAAUGGAGUGGCGGCCCGUCCGCGGCGACCUCUGCGUAGUAAUCCAACUCGCACCGGAACCCCGACGCGGCCACGCCGUAAAACACCCAACUUCUGAACGUUGACCUCGAAUCGGGUAGGACUACCCGCUGAACUUAAGCAUAUCAAUAAGCGGAGGA